CUACGGGAUGCAGCAGUGAGGAAUAUUGCACAAUGGGGGAACCCUGAUGCAGCAACGCCGCGUGGAGGAUGACGCAUUUCGGUGUGUAAACUCCUUUUAUAUGUCAAGAAAAUGACGGUAGCAUAUGAAUAAGCACCGGCUAACUCCGUGCCAGCAGCCGCGGUAAUACGGAGGGUGCAAGCGUUACUCGGAAUCACUGGGCGUAAAGGACGCGUAGGCGGGUUGGAAAGUCAGGUGUGAAAACCUACAGCUUAACUGUAGAACUGCACUUGAAACUUCUAAUCUAGAGUAUGGGAGGGGGAGAUGGAAUUAGUGGUGUAGGGGUAAAAUCCGUAGAUAUCACUAGGAAUACCUAAAGCGAAGGCGAUCUCCUGGAACAUUACUGACGCUAAGGCGUGAAAGCGUGGGGAGCAAACAGGAUUAGAUACCCGAGUAGUC
rnacentral:rRNA from 1 species